GGGCGCAUAGCGCAGUGGUAGCGCGUAUGCUUUGCACACUUUCUGCUCUUGUAGAAAAGUUACUUGUAUAAGGUCCAGGGUUCAAUCCCCUGUGCGUCCA